rnacentral:tRNA from 1 species
GGGCUCGUAGCUCAGUUAGGCAGAGCACCUGGCUUUUAACCAGGCGGUCAAGGGUUCAAAUCCCUUCGAGCCCG